AUCGCUUCUUGGCCCUUUGGCUAAGAUCAAGUGUAGUAUCAGAAAGCUUCAUUCCUACCUACAACUUCUAUUUCUGGGUCUUCAAAAGGAAGAAUCUUU
ensembl:snRNA U2 U2 spliceosomal RNA